rnacentral:rRNA from 1 species
GACGAACGCUGGCGGCGUGCUUAACACAUGCAAGUCGAACGGAAAGGCCCUGCUUUUGUGGGGUGCUCGAGUGGCGAACGGGUGAGUAACACGUGAGUAACCUGCCCUUGACUUUGGGAUAACUUCAGGAAACUGGGGCUAAUACCGGAUAGGAGCUCCUGCUGCAUGGUGGGGGUUGGAAAGUUUCGGCGGUUGGGGAUGGACUCGCGGCUUAUCAGCUUGUUGGCGGGGUAGUGGCUUACCAAGGCUUUGAUGGGUAGCCGGCCUGAGAGGGUGACCGGCCACAUUGGGACUGAGAUACGGCCCAGACUCCUACGGGAGGCAGCAGUGGGGAAUAUUGCACAAUGGGCGGAAGCCUGAUGCAGCAACGCCGCGUGCGGGAUGACGGCCUUCGGGUUGUAAACCGCUUUCGCCUGUGACGAAGCGUGAGUGACGGUAAUGGGUAAAGAAGCACCGGCUAACUACGUG